rnacentral:guide_RNA from 1 species
AUAAUAACGAACAUCUGAUGCUAAGCUAUAGUGAGUUAAAUGAUAUAAU